rnacentral:lncRNA from 1 species
UAUAUCUCUCUAUGUGGGACCCCUAGUCAGUCUCCCCUCUCUCUCUCUAUAUAUAUAUCUCUAUGUGGGACCCCUAGUCAGUCGUCAGUCCUCUCUCUCUCUCUCUAUAUAUAUCUCUCUCUCUAUGUAGGACUCCUAGUCAGUCAUCAGUCCCCUCUCUCUCUCUCUCUCUCUCUAUAUAUAUAUCUCUCUAUGUGGGACCACUAGUCAGUCACCUCUCUCUCUCUAUAUAUAUAUAUAUCUCUAUGUGGGACCCCUAGUCAGUCAUCAGUCAUCUCUCUCUCUCUCUCUCUCUCUCUAUAUAUAUAUAUAUAUAUCUCUAUGUGGGACCCCUAGUCAGUCGUCAGUCAUCUCUCUCUCUCUCUAUAUAUAUAUAUAUAUAUAUCUCUCUGUAGGACUCCUAGUCAGUCAUCAGUCAUCUCUCUCUCUCUCUCUCUAUAUAUAUAUAUAUCUCUCUAUGUGGGACCCCUAGUCAGUCCCCUCUCUCUCUCUCUAUAUAUAUAUAUAUAUAUAUAUCUCUAUGUAGGACCCCUAGUCAGUCCCCUGUCUCUCUCUCUCUCUCUCUAUAUAUAUAUAUAUAUAUAUAUCUCUAUGUGGGACCCCUAGUCAGUCUCAUCUCUCUCUCUCUAUAUAUAUAUAUAUCUAUGUAGGACUCCUAGUCAGUCCCCUCUCUCUCUCUCUCUCUCUCUAUAUAUAUAUAUAUAUCUAUGUAGGACUCCUAGUCAGUCCCCUCUCUCUCUCUCUAUAUAUAUAUAUAUCUAUGUAGGACUCCUAGUCAGUCCCCUCUCUAUAUACAGUAUAUCUCUAUGUAGGACCCCUAGUCAGUCCCCUCUCUAUAUACAGUAUGUCUCUA